UAAAAGGGGAGCUAUGGGUUCUGCACUGGGAGGGCUGAAAAGAUCCUUGCUGAAAUUUUUGUGAGAGGGGAGAAGUUCUUGCUGCAAAGUGGUGAAAGAGGAGAAGUUCAAAGCUUGGUGGAUUUUCUUGGAGCUGCAAGUUUUGGAGGAGAUAAAUUCAAAGAAUUCACAAAGGAAGUCUUCAAGAGAUGUUGUCGAGGAGAGUCCUUUGGAGCAAGAGCUGGAGAAUACUGAGGCUGCGGAGUAGUCUUCUUAGGAAUUUCCUAUCUGAACACGUGUAGUGUUCGAAUCUAUAAAUUGUUUAAGUUU
rnacentral:sRNA from 1 species